AAACUGGUGUUAUUCAACACCACCCUUUGACACUGGGAAACAAGCU
rfam:Chlorella variabilis unplaced genomic scaffold CHLNCscaffold_28, whole genome shotgun sequence.